rnacentral:rRNA from 1 species
GAUGAACGCUGGCGGCGUGCCUAAUACAUGCAAGUCGAGCGAACGGACGAGAAGCUUGCUUCUCUGAUGUUAGCGGCGGACGGGUGAGUAACACGUGGAUAACCUACCUAUAAGACUGGGAUAACUUCGGGAAACCGUAGCUAAUACCGGAUAAUAUUUUGAACCGCAUGGUUCAAAAGUGAAAGACGGUCUUGCUGUCACUUAUAGAUGGAUCCGCGCUGCAUUAGCUAGUUGGUAAGGUAACGGCUUACCAAGGCAACGAUGCAUAGCCGACCUGAGAGGGUGAUCGGCCACACUGGAACUGAGACACGGUCCAGACUCCGACGGGAGGCAGCAGUAGGGAAUCUUCCGCAAUGGGCGAAAGCCUGACGGAGCAACGCCUCGUGAGUGAUGAAGGUCUUCGGAUCGUAAAACUCUGUUAUUAGGGAAGAACAUAUGUGUAAGUAACUGUGCACAUCUUGACGGUACCGAAUCAGAAAGCCACGGCUAACUACGU